rnacentral:lncRNA from 1 species
CCGCCCUCGUGAUGUCUUCCACACCGUCCCCGACCACCGAGACGGAGACGCAGUCCGCCUCGUUCGUCGGCGGCCCUUCCUCCGCUUCGUCUUGCAAGCCAUAGUACAUCGCCCGUAAGAUGUGCCGUCGCAGGCAGCGACAAAGGGAGUUGGGUGGAUAGGUACAUGCGGGCGUCGUUGACGAGAUGUCUCCCCCGGCGUGCUGGGCUCCCCUCACUCCAUCCAUGUAGGCGCUGGCGCAGACUGUGCUAUCCGGCACCGUCGAGACCAAGGAGGAGGAGGAUGAGACGGCCGUCUGGACCCUUCCGGAGAGCUUUCCGGCCACUCAACAGCUAUCGGUCCAUGAGUGUGAGUCCCUGCAGCUCGUUCGGGAGCGGGUGAGCACGAGUAACCCCACCACCCGGGCUGGACUCGGCAUGUUCGACAAAAUGUCUCAACAAGACCGGGUAGAUUUUCUCAUGUCCGAUUUAAUGAUUAAUAUUUCGUAUAGCUCACUAGUUCACACAAGAUAAUUGCUUGCAAACCAUGAACAUGUAGGAGACAUACUAGGCAAGUAUGAUCAUUGAGAAUGAAGAUCCGGCCCAUGUGAAAUAUGAAAUGGAGGAGGCGGGCGCAUUUGUGAUUGGGGCAACAUCAUUCUCGCGGAUGAAUCCAUUUUAGAUGAACAUGCAAAAAAUGGCUUGUGGGCGGGAAUAAGGAGAUCAAUGAUCUGGAGCGUUGAAGACGGCGGCUACGGUUGCGGCAGCGGAGCAUGCGGCCAGGAUGCAGGCGGUGGAGGCAGCCCGGAUGCAGGUGGCGACUGUUGCCAGGAUGCAGGCGAAGGAGGCAGUCCGGAUGUAGGCGGAGAUGGAUGCCCAGGCGGAGCAGGACGCGUGGACGAACUCAUCCGGCUAGUGAUCCGACAACACUUGUCGAUCGGACAUUAAUUUCAUUCUGGGAUAUCGGUUUGGUUGAACUAUGAUAUCAUUUGCUUUUAUUUAAAACUGUUGAAUUCUAUGUAUCGAAUAAUCGUCGUGCAUUGCUUUAUAUGAAUUUAGAAGUUUGAAUAUAAGGCAUGUGAAUACACGAAA